UACAUCUAUUUGGGGAGGAGCCAAGAUGGGGGGGAGGAGCCAAGAUGGCCGAAUAGGAACAGCUCCUGUCUACAGCUCCCAGCUUGAGCCACGCAGAAGAUGGGUGAUUUCUGCAUUUCCAUCUGAGGUACCAGGCUACACCCUGCAAGGUCAUUAUCAUUAGCUGCACUUUACAGGAGAGGAAGCUGAGGCUCAGAGAAGCAAACUGCCCUCCUACUUAUGUUGAAGACUUUCCCAUCCUAUGAGCCCAGGUGGGAGAAGCUGAAAAUGGCAGAAGGUCACUUUUCCAGCUGCCCUGUGCCUGGUGAGCCUGUGACACAGACCCCGUUGCUCACAUAUCCACCCAGUUUGGUGCCAUAGGUGGUAGGUAAGUGGGAGCCCCAAGGAAGCUGCUCUGGCAGCAUGGUGCUGGUGGCCUGGCCUGGUGCCCUGUGCUGGGUAGGGGAGGGAUACUGGCAGCAUCUCUGGUUUGGGGAAGGUAAGGGGCCCCAGAGGUCUGUUUGGCAGGGCAAUUUUGACCAAAAUUGGAACAUUGCUUUUAGCUGGGUAGCCCCAAGUCUGGCUCUAUAGCCUUUCUACCAAGGCAGGUUGCAAACUCUGCGCUUAUGUGCCUCAAGAGACAGGGCUCUGGAUGUAUGAGGUCAAGGCUGUCUGAAGAAGAUGAAUAUGGUAGAGAUAAGGAGGAUUUUCCAGUGAUUGAAGAGAGACUUCCUAGUCAAGGACUGUGGUUUUGGAGCAGAGCAGCAGGGUCGUGUUCCCUGUCUCUGGCAGUACUCUGAACAUUGGCAGGACCUCAGAGUGGUGGCCCAAGGUGCCUAGGCUGCCAGCCUUGCCAAAACUUCCCUUCAAUCAGCUUGGUGAGGAAGGAGAAGGGGCUGAGGCAGUGGGAUUCUCAGUGGUAAUCCAGGGUGAACCAAUGUUCUAUAAUAAUAUUAGAGGGACCUCCCUAUGUCUGGGCCCUGUGUCCUACCUUAGGACCAUGGCACAACUCCCUGUGGGGAGAGGGAAGAGAAAUCCCUGUGAAUCACUCAGGCUGAAUUUCUCACCAACCCAGCAAGAUGGAAGCUCAGAGUUGAAAUCAAGUUGAUUAAUAAAACAUUUUAAAAGAAGCACUUCAGGGCCAAGGAGUUUGAAGAAGUCCAAGGUAGAGCUUUCUGGAAAAUCCUCUGGAGAGGUUGAUCAGAAACCUUCUCCCACAUAAACAAAGGACCCAGGAAGAAGCUAAAAAUGGGCCAUGAGAUUGUCUUUAUUCAUCAAGCCUGAAGUUUUCUGACUCUAUCUUUCUUUUCCCGUGGCCACUGUUACCUCUCCAGAACAGACCCCAUCACCUGAAUUCUGCCUGAGCCUCGACAGAUAUGCUCAGCGGGGUUCAGCCAUGGAUGGUGAUUUAAGAUGA
rnacentral:lncRNA from 10 species